rnacentral:tRNA from 1 species
GCAGGGGUACCAGAGCCUGGAAAAUGGGCGGGACUUAAGAUCCCGUGGCCAAGCGCCUUCGAGAGUUCAAAUCUCUCCCCCUGCA